rnacentral:rRNA from 1 species
UACGUAGGUGGCAAGCGUUGUCCGGAUUUACUGGGCGUAAAGAGCGCGCAGGCGGUCGAAUAAGUCGAAUGUGAAAGCCCCCGGCUCAACUGGGGAGGGUCAUUCGAUACUGCUCGACUUGAAGGCAGGAGAGGGUAGUGGAAUUCCCGGUGUGGUGGUGAAAUGCGUAGAUAUCGGGAGGAACACCAGUGGCGAAGGCGACUACCUGGCCUGUUCUUGACGCUGAGGCGCGAAAGCUGGGGGAGCAAACGGG